rnacentral:lncRNA from 1 species
CACAGCCACAAAGCUAUAUCUUGACUCAAAUAAGCUUUUUGGUCUUAAUGUAAGAUUAGGCAUAUGGUUAAGCGAAUGACUGGUUUGAGGCCCUGUUCGGGUGUUUGGAGUAUAUCCUUCCCAUCUGACUCAUUAAAGAAAAAUGAUUCAUCCAACUUGAGGAGAGUGAUCCUUUGGACUCUGGGGCCAUGGUGAUGGGAAUUCUGGACCAGGCAGUUGACGUCCUCGUGCUGCACUACGGGUUGCAGAAACCUAUCUACUACAAAGGUUUACAGGGUCUGGUGACAUUCCAUUUCCACAAGGGAGUUGACUGGUGUGGGCUGUAGAAGAGCCAGCGAGCCUAGUGUAUGGCAGGUAAGAAGACACGGAGGGACGCACGCAAACUACCUGCCCUCCAGGACACCUACAGCACCCGAUGUCACAGGAAGGCCUUAAAGCUCAUCAAGGACAACAACCACCGGAGCCACUGCCUGUUCACCCCGCUAUCAUCCAGAAGGAGAUCUCCAUCUUCAGUCUGGACAGCUGAGGGCAGACGGAGCAGACGGAGCUCCUAUGAAAUACAGCGCUGUAAUCAAGAGGCCUAAUGAGACAUCGUCGUGGAAACUACGAUAACGCACACACAUCGAUAAGACAGACCGAGCUCUGCUGAAUAAGCUUACUUGGACAGUAUUGUGCGCUUGACAACACACACAUGAUCACACACACGUCAUUGCACAUGUUCUUUUGUAUGUAUUAGAAAAGCCUUUUUUUUUAAAUUUAACUUCAUGGUUUAAUUACCAUCGAGGAGCCAAGGCUCUGAAGUAGCACUGAAGCAGUGUUAUUUAAAUACGGCCUGGACCGCUUUGAAAUGAACUGUAAAAGUGCCGAUACUGCAAUGAAUAACGUUUUAUAUUUAGCAGUUUUGACCCUAUGUAAUUUUUCGCAAAAGUAUAUACACAGUCGAUGUGUGAAGAUAGUUUACACCAUGUUUAGUUUAAAUUAAGCUGUUCUAUUAAUGUCGAGUUUUACAGUAACUCAUCAUUUCAGUCGCAAUUCUUUGAUUAGUGGUAGCAGUCACCUUGCAAUAACUUGUUUUUCCCCAUCAAUUCAUAGUAUGACACUGUCCCACUUUAAAUGAAUUACUUUAAAGGUUUAAUAAACCCUUUUUAUAAUGACUAUUUUAAAGCAAAUUCAUACAACAGGAUAACAUGACUCUCAGCCAAGUGCUUUGCCAUGUGUAUUGGGACCACAAAUGUUCCGCAAAUGUUUAAGUUGCCAGUAGGAAGGAAUUCUUGAUACCAUAUUCAAACUCACAAAUCAAAUACGUUGAUAUAGCAAUUUUACUAACUAGUGUAACUCCCAGUCCUCAACUCCUGUUUAGUCUCUGUGCCCAGAUUAGGGAUUACAUCUGGAUUUACCUUCAACCAGUGGUGUAAAGUACUUAGGUAAAAAUAGUUUGAAGUACUACUUAAGUCGUUUUUUGGGAUAUCUGUACUUUACAAUUAUAUUUUGGAGUUUUUACUUCGCUACAUUCCUAAAGAAAAUAUAAUUUUUACGCUGUAAAUUUUUACUGACAUCCAAAAGUACUCAUUACAUUUUGAAUGCUUAGCAGGACAUGAAAAUGGUUCAAUUCACGCACUUGCAGUAUCAAGAUUACAUCCUUGGUGAUCGCUACUGCCUUUGAUCUGGUGGCCUCACUAAGCACCAAUGCUUCAUUUGUAAAUGUCUGAGUGUUGGCAUGUGCCUCUGGUGAUCUGUAAAUAUAACCAGACAGCACAAUUUUCUUGUUUUUCUUAACAUAAGGAAUUUGAAAUGAUUUUUACUUUUGAUACCAAAUACUUUUUCUCAAGUAAUAUUUUUCAGGGUGACUUUUGUGUCAUUUUCUAUUAAGAUAUCUUUACUGUUACUCAAGUAUGACAAUUGGGUACUUUUUCCACCGCUGCCUUCAACUCUGGUUUCUCUUCAGUAACUAAUAAACCUUUCGCCUUUCACUAAGUAAUUACAAUUUGGAGUCAAUGAAAUAUAAAAACACCAUGUGCAGAGCUU